rnacentral:tRNA from 1 species
GAGAGAGAAGCAUUGUAGUAUGUGAUUAAUUUGAAAUUAAUAAAAGGUGAAUUAGUAUCAUCCUUUCUU